rnacentral:tRNA from 1 species
GGGUACGUAGCUCAGUGGUAGAGCACAUGUCUACCAUGCAUGAGGCCCUGGGUUCAAUCCCCAGUACCUCCA